rnacentral:rRNA from 1 species
UACGGAGGGUGCGAGCGUUGUCCGGAAUCACUGGGCGUAAAGGGCGCGUAGGCGGUCUGCUAAGCGUGCGGUGAAAGCCUGGGGCUCAACCCCAGGUCUGCCGUGCGAACUGGUGGACUAGAGCACUGUAGAGGCAGGUGGAAUUCCGGGUGUAGCGGUGGACUGCGUAGAGAUCCGGAAGAACACCGGUGGCGAAGGCGGCCUGCUGGGCAGUUGCUGACGCUGAGGCGCGACAGCGUGGGGAGCAAACAGG